rnacentral:rRNA from 1 species
GACGAACGCUGGCGGCGUGCCUAAUACAUGCAAGUCGAGCGGUGGAGGUUGGUACUUUUCCCGACUGGGUGAGCAGCGAACGGGUGAGUAACGCGUGGGUAAUCUGUCUUUGGGCGGAGGGCAACGUAAGGAAACGAAUGCUAACACCGCAUAAAAGCUUGAAACACAAGGUUUAAGGUUGAAAGAGGCAAUUGCAUCACCCAAGGCUGAUCCCGCGUUGUGUUAGCUAGUUGGUGAGGAAAAGGCUCACCCAGGGGAUGAUACAUAGCCGAGCUGGGAGGGUGGUCGGGCACAUCGGGAACGAGAGAAGGGCCAAACGCCUAAGGGAGGCAGGCGUAGGGGAACUUCGGAAAUGGGCGGAAGUCUGACCGCGCAACGCCGCGGGAGUGAAGAAGGGUUUCGGGUCGUAAAAGUCUGUUAGUAGAGAAGAACGUGGGUGAGGGUGGAAAGCUGCUCAAGUGACGGUAACUACCGAGAAAGGAACGGCUAACUCCGUG